GUGACCAAUGUGUGUGUGGGAGCAGGCACAGAAUGGGGCAUGUUCUGCAGAGUGCUGCCAGAGUGGGCACCACGUGGGCCCUGCGCUGGGAUUAAUGUUUGAACAGCACUCAUCCUAUAAAUCUCUCUCUGAAGCUUUCUCAGAACAAACAGCAGAGAACAAGGCAUCUGUCUGACACUGACAGAGCUCCAACCUGUGCAUCAGGCAGGGAGUGCUGUCAGUGCAGCCCCACGUGCCGCCAGCACUGUGCCAGGAGCUGCCUCCAUGCUCAUGUGCAAGGAGAAAGAGUCAUUGAGAUUAAUUGCAGAACGGCAUAUGCAACGUGAUGCAGGCAGUGCAGCGCAGUGAUGGGACGCAGCGGUUCGGGGCGGCCUGGUCCUGCAGCACAGCACUGCUGCUCCUCGCAUAUAUGGUGGCACAGAGCCCAGCACUGCCCCCCUGUGCAGCCCUCAGGAACAGAGCUCAGAAUUCACAGAUCUGCAGCAGAAUGGAAAUUUUUUCUUCUUUGUGAAAGGGACUUUCCAACCAAUGAAGCUGGUCUUAGUGGUGUGGUCAUCUCAUGGGUUCUUAAGUGCAUGUUGAAACCCAGCAUGUUUCCAGUAUGUUCCAUGUCAAUGCUUUUCCAGCUGUCUCUAUUUUCUCUUCUGUUUCUCCUCCUUUCCCCAUUCCUCUUUCCCCAGCACGUGUGCAAUGCAUGUUGCCCUUGGUGAAUGAAGAAAAUGAACAAUAAAAGUGCAAGUUUAAUGGCGGGGAGAAUGGGCCAGAGAGACAGAAUUAGAGGGAAGGUACCAAUAAAGAGGAAAUCUAAUCAGAAUGGAAAAUUCCCAUGGAAAAAAAGGAGAAGUGCAGUUGCUGGGAGGUGGAGGCAGAGCCUGGUUUCACUGCUCAUUGGAGCACACGAGUUGUGUUCCCACUGCUGACGCCUGGUGCGGUGGUGGGAGAUGAGCAUCGCUGUCUGUGUUGCUGAACCAAUCUCUCCUGGGACCAAACACAUCACUCAGAUUGUUUCAUAAUGUUUAAUUUUGCAUUAGGCACAGAAUGCACUGUUUCUGUGUUGUGUAAUCACACGCUCAGGCUGCCUACGUGCUGCUGAGCGAUGACAUUUUUUCCCUUUUCUCCAUCUGCAGUGCUGCAAAGAAUGCUCAAUUUCUGGUACAAAUAAUAAAUGCAAAAUGACUUUUUGACCCAGAAGCCAAAGCAUAGGUUUUGAACAAAGGAAUAAGGAUGUUCUUUUCAACUGGUCCUCUCAAACGGUCUCAUGUUGGUGCAGCUUUAUUCUGUGUACUGCAAAAACAUCCAUGGGAGAUGGGACACGGCUCAGACAGGGCAGAGUACUGCUGCUGUGUGUGCUCACAGUGCAGCACACGCAUCCCAUUGGGCUCCAGCUCAUGGCUCCGGUGCACCGUGAAGUGCUGAGGGCUGCGGUUAAUUAGAACAGGUAAUGGCAGAAGACAGCCUGGCUCUAAAGGCUGCAGUAAUCCUGGGAAAAGUUCAUUGUUCUUUAUUUCUGCUUUGAUAAUUAACUACCUGAGUCAUAGAACUUUAUACAUAAUUGUUAUUAAGUGUCACAUGCGUGAGCAGCACACAGCUGCACCAGAUACAUGGUGCUGACAGAGCUGUUCUGAGCACAACCUCAAUCCUGGAGCAUAGCAAGGACAGCACAGCACGGCACAGCAUGGCACGACACAGC
ensembl:lncRNA